CAACCCUCAAGCUCCGCUUGGUGUUGGGGCCCUACAGCUGAUGUAGGCCCUCAAAGGUAGUGGCGGACCCUCCCGGAGCCUCCUUUGCGUAGUAACUUUACGUCUCGCACUGGGAUCCGGAGGGACUCUUGCCGUAAAACCCCCCGAUUUUCC
rnacentral:misc_RNA from 1 species